rnacentral:rRNA from 1 species
UAACGAAUCUUCCGCAAUGGGCGCAAGCCUGACGGAGCGACGCCGCGUGUGGGACGAAGUCCUUCGGGAUGUAAACCACUGUCAGGGGUUAGAAAGUUCUGAUCAACCCCAGAGGAAGGCACGGCUAACUCUGUGCCAGCAGCCGCGGUAAGACAGAGGUGCCAAGCGUUAGGCGGAAUCACUGGGCUUAAAGCGUGUGUAGGUGGAUGCCUAAGUGCCUUGUGAAAUCCCACGGCUCAACCGUGGAAUUGCUGGGCAUACUGGGUGUCUUGAGCCAUCCAGGGGUCGCUGGAACAAACGGUGGAGCGGUGAAAUGCGUAGAUAUCGUUUGGAACGCCAAUGGUGAAAACAGGCGACUGGGGAUGUGCUGACACUGAGACACGAAAGCCAGGGGAGCAAACGGGAUUAGAUACCCCCGUAGUCC